rnacentral:rRNA from 1 species
CAGCAGUAGCCGCGGGAAUACGUAGGUGGCAAGCGUUGUCCGGAAUUAUUGGGCGUAAAGGGCUCGCAGGCGGUUUCUUAAGUCUGAUGUGAAAGCCCCCGGCUCAGCCGGGGAGGGUCAUUGGAAACUGGGAAACUUGAGUGCAGAAGAGGAGAGUGGAAUUCCACGUGUAGCGGUGAAAUGCGUAGAGAUGUGGAGGAACACCAGUGGCGAAGGCGACUCUCUGGUCUGUAACUGACGCUGAGGAGCGAAAACGUGGGGAGCGAACAGGAUUAGAUACCCCUGUAGUCCCUGUCUCUUAUAC